AUUAGACAUUUGCAGAUUGUGUGUGUAGCAGCAGAUUGGUUGAUGGCUAAACAGACAAGAAAAGAGCCAUCAAAUAACCACUGGGAAAUCACGGUGGUUAAAUGAUGGGGAAGUCUAUAUGGAGGCAACGUCUGUUGGGGAGCAGAUGAGAAAAUGAGAAAAGUGUAUAGUACAGGGAAUGAAUGGCCAUCCUUCUCUGAAGCAUCGGGGAUCGCCACAUCACAAAAUAGGAUGCUGGAUCCGGCUGCAUUGGCUUGAGUACAGGCAUAGGAUGUAAAAUGGUCACAGCUGUCCUUUGUGAUGAAAAGAGCAGCAGUAAGAGACUCAGAGGAUACUACGAGGAUGCUUGCAACUGUGCUCUAAGGGACACUGAGAUUGAUGAUAAGUAGUGAUAAGUUCUUGAUAAGUUCAGACACUGGCGCUCUAUCAUAUACUCUGGGCUGGUGGACAAAAUUAUGGCAUGACAUAGCUCCUAUAGCUCUAGAACAGGGGAAGAAGGAGAGCAUCAGCCAUUAUUUACUAACGUUUCUAUUUUAUUAUAUGCUGAUGGCACGGCGAUUGUAUCUAUCAUGCCGGUAGGAAUGAGACGCGCUUUGAGAACCCUUGCGAAAUUCUGUGAAGAGGAGGUGCUGUCCAUCAAUACCCCAAAAACAAAAAUAAUGGUUUUCAGUAAGCGUAGGAAAUCUUAUAAAUUGUCAAUCAAUGGUAGGAGCCUUCAACAAGUCAAAACAUAAGUAUCUGGGCUUCAUAUUCCAUUCAAGGAAUUCCUGGAGGCCACAUUGUGAGUUUGUGACUGCAAAUGCUCAAAGAUCCAUUGCAGCUAUUAAGAAUUUUUUUACUCUCAAGGCGCUCAGAACAUCCCGGCAACGCUAAGGGUAUAUCAGGCGAAACCUCGAGCUCAGAUGCUAUAUGGUGCCCAGAUUCUUUUAGCUGGGAACUUACAAUCUUUUGAAGUUGUUCCGUCAAAGUUCUUACAGGACAUCUUCCAACUCCCCCAGCUGCGUCCCAAACGCAGCUUUGCAUUUGGAAGCAGGUGUCAUUAGAUUAACUGCUCAGGCACGGCUGCAAGCGGUCUUAUAUUGGCUUAAACAUACUAGCUGUCUCCAAGAGUUAGGCUCACUAACUUUGGUGGAUGAUUUCUGUUCCACUUGGAGGAGGAAUAUACAUGACAUCCUGGGUAAUUGUGGCCUUUUGGAGCAAUAUAUACAAUCGUUAAAUUAUAAGGCAAAAAAAAAAAAUCAUUACACAGAAGGUAAGAGACAUAGAAAAGCAGAGUGACCUUAGCCUGAUUGCUUCCAGAUAUAAUUAUCUCAGCUUUUCAAAUUACCCAAGGCCAGCUGCAUACCUUACACAUUUGCCUACACCCAGGCUAAGAAGGGUCUUCUCUCAGGCCCGUUUUAAUGUCCUCCCUUCAGCUGUGUUGGAGGGCAGAUUUUGAGGGAUCCCCUUGGAGGAACUUAUGUGCCCAUGUGGAGCUGCUGAGGUGGAAACAUUAACACAUACUUUGUUUAACUGCCUUUUCUAUGAUAUUGCCCGUUCCAUUCAGAUCGCCCCCUAUCAAAAGAAACAUUUGGAUUGGUCUGAGGAACAUUUUAUUGUUUAUUUUUUAGGAGACAGGCAUGAAGAAGUUACUCAUAGGAUUGCUUAUCAUAGGCAUGUAAAAUAAGGUGACUGCAAACUGGUUUUUAAAUUUUUACUUAUGUUAUUGUAUUGUACUGUAUUGCUCUUUGCUGUAGUGUUUAUUUGGUCGUUGACAGUAAAUAAAUGAGUUCAGUUCACUAACGUU